CUGACCUACUCAAAGGAGACUUCAUUUCAAAUAGGUGAUCACAGUUGACAGAAUUAAUAACCCAAGAUCUGGGUGUCUGGCUUAUGGAAAUGUCCUCCCCCCGCCACGCUCCCUCCCCCAUGUAAGCUAUCAAAUCUUUUCUGAAACUGGAUGGGGGUAAACAUCUGUAAAAUACAGUUUUCAAUUCGAUUAAGUGGUGAAUGCUGGCUGAGUACAAGUCACAUGCUAGUUGCCAUCUGAGCAAGCUCUUAUAAAGGAGUUCCUGGAAUUGGACUUUAACCAAUAGGAUGGAGACUUUCCCCAUCUAAUUGGAGUUGCACAGCUAUAUCGCCAUCAGCAUCUUGACCAGCCAAUCAGAGUGGCUCCAUUUGGACCAAGUAGGAUGGCCCCUUUGGACCAAUCAAACUCUCUCCAAACUGGGGGUUCCUGUUGGCAUUGAAUCAGCGCCAAGCACCAUGAGUUGACAAUGUCAAUUAAAUUUAGCCUCGUCAGGCAGCCUGGAGCCACAGAGGAGCCGUGGCUUUGGGAUCAGACAGCUUGGUUAUGGGAUCUGGCUUUACCAUACUUACUGUUGAACUUGGGCAUGACCCGGCCCCAAUCCCGAGGCUAAAGAUUGUGAGCAUGGAAAGGUCACAGGAGGCUUCAUAAAGGGCCAUUGGACUGAGCAUCGAGACAUGCACGCAAGGUGAGGGUACUUGGGAACAGGAGAGGAUCUAUUCUGAGCUUCGUCGGGGCCUCCAUCCGCAGCUGGACUCAGCCGCUGGUCUGCGGGUGAUCGGGCCUUUUUCUCCCACGGGCCUCAGUGAGACGGGCUGUUGUGGAGACGGGAUGUGUACACUCCUGUCCCACUGCCACGUGUCUGUGAAUGUUGAAUGACGGUAAGAGACUGAUCAUUUACCAAACCGGGCAUCAUUGUUCCUGUUUCUGACUUGCUAUGAACUUAGAAUUCUCUCAGUGCCUCGGUUCCCUUACCUGAAAGAGGAAAUGACCAUAUUGAUUCUGCUCCUGUGAUUUAGGUGAACAAGUUUUUCAAUUUUGGGGAUUUGCUUUGUUCCAGGAGCUAAACUUUAGCAAGGCAACGGCCUACAGCCGAGCAGCUCGGAGGUGCUCAUGGCCACUGGGCUUCCGCCACUGCGGGCACCGCCUGGGCCCC